rnacentral:rRNA from 1 species
AUGAACGCUAGCGGGAGGCUUAAUACAUGGCAAGUCGAGCGGGAUUCUCCUUCGGGAGAUGAGAGCGGCGCACGGGUGAGUAACGCGUACGUAACCUGCCUUACAGAGGGAAUAGCCCUGGGAAACUGGGAUUAAUACUCCAUAGUAUAUAGAUGGCGCAUGCUGUUAUAUUAAAGUUGAGGCGCUGUAAGAUGGGCGUGCGUGCUAUUAGCUAGUUGGUGAGGUAACGGCUCACCAAGGCUACGAUAGCUAGGGGGCGUGAGAGCGUGGCCCCCCACACGGGUACUGAGACACGGACCCGACUCCUACGGGAGGCAGCAGUAAGGAAUAUUGGACAAUGGUCGAAAGACUGAUCCAGCCAUCCCGCGUGCAGGAUGACUGCCCUAUGGGUUGUAAACUGCUUUUAUAUGGGAAGAAUAGCAUAGAUUCAUCUGUGUAUGACGGUACCAUAUGAAUAAGCACCGGCUAACUCCGUG